rnacentral:rRNA from 1 species
UACGGAGGGUGCAAGCGUUAAUCGGAAUUACUGGGCGUAAAGCGUGCGCAGGCGGUUUGUUAAGUCCGUUGUGAAAGCCCCGAGCUCAACUUGGGAAUUGCAGUGGAUACUGGCAGGCUGGAGUACGGUAGAGGAAGGUGGAAUUCCCGGUGUAGCAGUGAAAUGCGUAGAUAUCGGGAGGAACACCUGUGGCGAAAGCGGCUCACUGGACCAUAACUGACGCUGAUGCACGAAAGCUGGGGGAGCAAACAGG